AAUGAACGCUGGCGGCGCGCCUAAUACAUGCAAGUCGAGCGAGAAGACGCAGCAAUACGUUUGUAAAGCGGCGAACGGGUGAGGAAUACAUGGGUAACCUACCCUCGAGUGGGGAAUAACUAGCCGAAAGGUUAGCUAAUACCGCGUACGCUUCUUGGACUUCGGUUCAGGGAGGGAAGGCGAUGCCGAGGGUAUCGCGCUCUUGGAUGGGCUCAUGUCCUAUCAGCUUGNGGUGAGGUAACGGCUCACCAAGGCUUCGACGGGUAGCUGGUCUGAGAGGACGAUCAGCCACACUGGCACUGCGACACGGGCCAGACUCCUACGGGGAGGCAGCAGUAAGGAAUAUUGCGCAAUGGGCGAAAGCCUGACGCAGCGACGCCGCGUGGGGGA
rnacentral:rRNA from 1 species